UAAUUAUCGAGAUAAACAGCGUAAGGAAUUCAUUAAAACAUCCUCGAAAACUAUAGUGCAUCAUCUGGCCGGUUAGCUCAUCAAUAAAUUGUGCAGAGACAGGUGAUACAAAAGGAAGUGCUUUGCACCAACAAGCAUUGCAUUGCAAGGAUUGAAAAGCUGCCGCCAACAAUUAACGACUAGAAUAUAUUUCAAUCCAGAAAAUUAUCAACGGCAGACCAACUAUGACGAACAACAGCAGGUGCCGCAGUGAAGUUUUUUUCCACCACCAUUCAAAACAACUCUUGGCAAUUACGCGUAGCCAAAGCGCUGCUGUUACAUGACCGCAUGUUCCGGGGCUUCCUAAAUACAAAGGAAACUGAUGCAACACGUAGACGGAGCAAAUUCGUAGCUCUGUAAGUCCCUUAAACUAACCGGUCGCACAUCAAGUUCCACAUGCUGACGAAUUCUUCAAAGGAGAGUUUAUUCGCCCCAAGGAAGAAGCU